rnacentral:piRNA from 1 species
CAGAAGUUCAAGGUCAUUCUCUGCCACAUAU